rnacentral:tRNA from 1 species
AAAUUACAUAACUUUGUCAGGGUUAAAUUAUAGGUGAAAAUCCUUUAUAUCUUU